GAUGAAGAACGCAGCGAAAUGCGAUACUUGGUGUGAAUUGCAGAAUCCCGUGAACCAUCGAGUCUUUGAACGCAAGUUGCGCCUCAAGCCAUUAGGUUGAGGGCACGUCUGCCUGGGCGUCACAUAUCGUUGCCUGAUGCCAGUUUCCUCGUGAUGGGUGACUGCGCAGGGCGAAUGAUGGCUUCCCGUGAGCAUUGUUGCCUCAUGGUUGGUUGAAAAUUGAGUCCUUGGUAGGGAGCGCCGUGAUAGAUGGUGGUUGAGUGACGAACGAGACCCAAUCAUGUGAGACCCCUACCGAAUUUGGCCUUCAUGACCCACAUGCGUCUUUGGAACGCUCAUGACGAGACCUCAGGUCAGGCGGGGCUACCCGCUGAGUUUAAGCAUAUCAAUAAGCGGAGGA
rnacentral:misc_RNA from 1 species